CUUCCCCAGCCUGGUCUGCUUCCUGAUGCGGCUUGAAGCCAUGGCAAAGACCUUCCGCAACCUCUCUAAGGAUGGAAAAGGACUCUACCUGACAGAAAUGGAGUGGAUGAGCCUGGUCAUGUACAACUGAAGCAAAGAGGAAAGCAGACCCAUGGCUCAGACCUCCUGGUGACCAUUCUCUAUGUGCCAAUAUACCUUCGAAGUAUACAGUUCUUCACGCAGCCGACCUGUGAUCAAUAUCACCUAAAACUCGAUUGUUUUGGUAAACAGUAUUUAAUCUCCCAUUCAUGUACCUUGAAGUCAAGAGACAGACACUGUCUCCAUAAAUAAUGUUGUAGCAUAAAUAUUUCCUGAUGAACGCUUGAUGCUUUCUAAUGAUCGCAAAUGAAUACUGCAGAGAUCAUAGUUAAUUUGACCCAAUCAUAUUUCCUUGAGUUCUCCUUUCACUCCUUUUUAAAAACAGAACAUUUGAUUAUUUUCAGUUUUAUUGUGUCUGUUCCAAUCUG
rnacentral:lncRNA from 10 species